GACGAACGCUGGCGGCGUGCUUAACACAUGCAAGUCGAGCGGUAAGGCCCUUUCGGGGGUACACGAGCGGCGAACGGGUGAGUAACACGUGGGUGACCUGCCCUCAGCUCUGGGAUAAGCCUGGGAAACCGGGUCUAAUACUGGAUAUGACUCCAUGACGCAUGUUGUGGGGUGGAAAGCCUUGUGCGGCUGAGGAUGGGGCCCGCGGCCUAUCAGCUUGUUGGUGGGGUGAUGGCCUACCAAGGCGACGACGGGUAGCCGGCCUGAGAGGGCGACCGGCCGACACUGGGACUGAGACACGGCCCAGACUCCUACGGGAGGCAGCAGUGGGGAAUCUUGCGCAAUGGGCGAAAGCCUGACGCAGCGACGCCGCGUGAGGGAUGACGGCCUGGU
rnacentral:rRNA from 1 species